CAAACAUUUUUGCUUGUAUACUUCGUCGAAAACUGUGUUAAAUUUGCACAAAAACAACGAGAAAAUAACGAUUUUUUAAACCAAUUUGGAUGAUCGAUCGGCAAUUAAAGGUACGUUAUUACUUAGUUAUUUUAGCUAACCGGUUGUUAUUUCUAGAACAUCGCAUGUAUCGAAUAAAACCUAUUUGUUUGAUGGGGUUUAUAACAUGGUCUUUCAAGUCACACGUGGUAUUUUUGUCAAUUUUCAUCUAUACUUUGAUUUUUGGCGUGUUUAUUUGACUGACUUGAGCUUAUACCAUUGACGCAAAAUGAGACAGCUGAGUCAAAACCAAGUAAUAUAUAUUUAUUCAGUGUGUUGCUGAUCAUUUCACCUUUUACUGUGCUCUACCUUAUUGUCAAUCUCUUAAUAUAUAUGAUAUAAAUACUAUCUUGGAUUAUUACCAGUACUAUCUGUAUUAUAUUCCUCAAUUGUUGAUUUAAUACCACUUUCUCCUGCUUGCGAAAGUUAAAGGGUUUAUGUUUCUGAUUGAGUCAAUAUGUACUUUUAUUCUACAAUUUAUCAUAAGUUCAUAUGUCAUAUAUUUUAUGCUAUAAACAGCUUAGUCCAUGUCACAAAUCAAACUAACUUUUAUUUUAUUUAGGACGGUCAGGAACUAUGUAUGCAAAACUCAAUGUGCAAACUGGAAUGAGGAUCAAAUCUGUCUUGCCACCUCUGCAGUUGAGAAGAACUGUCGAUACGAAAGCUUCAAAUGCCUACAGGGAUUAAAUCGCCGAGUCAAUGGUAGGCUAAAAAAUUUAUCUUUUUGUGGUGAACGUUGGUCAAAGUCAUGCCUGGUGAGGAUUGGAUGACUUGUUCACAAUGCAAACAAUGGUGUCACGAAGAACGCUGUACUGUUACCGCAGCCAAUGUGACCUGUGUGUGUGUGUGACAUUGAACUUAAAAAUGAUUUGAAACAUGUAUUUUAUAAUUAGUUCUAAAGUUCUAUUAAAAUAAGUAUAAUUAUAUUGACUUUAUUUUUAAUUUUUAGCCCUGUCUCAUUUUGCCUCACUGUGCCGGGGCAAGAUGAGACAAUUACCACUGCUAGGUUUUCCUCGAUUUAUCGCAAAUAAAUUAUUUCAAACAUUUUUUUUUGCUUUACAUAUCUUGCUGUGAGUCAACCUCACAUACCCAAG
rnacentral:lncRNA from 1 species